UACAACCUGAACUCAGACGUGAUAC
rnacentral:rRNA from 1 species